UUUUAAUAGCUUAUAGUCUAGAGUAUGAUAUUGAAGAUAUUAAGGAGUUAUUUAUUAAUUUAAAAUAU
rnacentral:tRNA from 2 species